UACGUAGGGGGCAAGCGUUGUCCGGAAUUAUUGGGCGUAAAGAGCGUGUAGGCGGCCAGAUAAGCCCGCUGUGAAAUCUCGAGGCUCAACUUCGAGCUGUCGGUGGAAACUAUCUGGCUAGAGUCCGGAAGAGGAGAAUGGAAUUCCUGGUGUAGCGGUGAAAUGCGCAGAUAUCAGGAAGAACACCCGUGGCGAAGGCGGUUCUCUGGGACGGUACUGACGCUGAGACGCGAAAGCGUGGGGAGCGAACAGG
rnacentral:rRNA from 1 species